ensembl:lncRNA
CAGAUUUCUUACAUAAUUCAUCGUGUUCCAGGUUUCACUUUAUUUUGGAAGAUGGAGCAGCGAAGUCUCCUGGAGAAUGAACAACUUCUACUUCUUCUUCUUCUGCAUUGUGAAAGUUGGAUGGAGUUCGGCGGGGCUGUAACCUGAGCUCAGGUAUGAAUAGUAAACAGGUAAAAGCUCACACCUCAUUCAUAUUCAGUGAGGACGAGCGAUUGGUCCCGCCUUUACCUCUUCAUGUAGUGAAGAAGUGAGGACAUCACCACACUUUUAUCCAUUUAUUUCUACAUAUGACUGCAGUCACUACAAUAUUUUCAGAUGUUUCCAUGCCCAGCACCUCAGUGAAUCAGUUUAUGUAACAGAAUCAGUUUGUCCCUGAUGGAUAAGGUGUGUUUUUACAGGAUUUCUGCACACAGCCAUGACAACAGUUUACAAUCUCUGUGUUUUUAUACCAAAUUUAUAACCUGCGUAUGAAUCUGACCUACGUCCUGUUUGUACAUUACUGUAGCUGGGUUUGUACUGAAAAUCAGACUGUAGAAUAUUUCGUGAUCUUUGUGUGUAAAGUUCAUAAAAUUUAGACAGAUAUUACACCACGACAGAACCAGCACCAUCAGGCAGCUUUCACUCCGACCUCAGAGGGUUAAAGAGAGGCUAGGUCACAUCAGUGUUACACAGACUGAAAUAUAAUGUUAUUAUACUGUCUGUUUCAGCAGAAUGUGAAAUAAUACUUAAGAAGGCUUCACAUCAAAGGGUCUUGUAAUUUUUGUGCAGCAUGAAUCCUGUAUUCCACUUCGCUACCACUGGACAGAGCGUACUCCAGCCCUCAUGGCCUUUGGCCAUGGACCUGGAAGACUCCACGGAGGAGUCCAUGGACGUGGAUGACUCCACAGAAGAGCCCAUGGACGUGCAGGUAGGCCAUGGAGAUGAUAUCACACUUAAGUUCAAUUUUCU